rnacentral:rRNA from 1 species
AUUGAACGCUGGCGGCAUGCUUUACACAUGCAAGUCGAACGGUAACAGGUUAAGCCGACGUGUGGCGAACGGGUGAGUAAUGCAUCGGAACGUGCCCGGUCGUGGGGGAUAACACUUCGAAAGAAGUGCUAAUACCGCAUACGAUCUGAGGAUGAAAGCGGGGGACCGUAAGGCCUCGCGCGAUCGGAGCGGCCGAUGUCAGAUUAGGUAGUUGGUGGGGUAAAGGCUCAAUAAGCCGACGAUCUGUAGCUGGUCUGAGAGGACGACCAGCCACACUGGGACUUAGUCACGGCCCAGACUCCCACGGGAGGGAGCAGUGGGGAAUUUUGGACAAUGGGCGCAAGCCUGAUCUAGCAAUGCCGCGUGCAGGAAGAAGGCCUUCGGGUUGUAAACUGCUUUUGUACGGAGCGAAAAGGCUCUCUCUAAUACAGGGGGCUCAUGACGGUACCGUAAGAAUAAGCACCGGCUAACUACGUGCCAGCCGCCGCCGUAA